ensembl:lncRNA
GCCUUCGUCUUUCCUCAGUACUCUUACAACCAACCUAUUUAUAGCCCAGGAAAGGAAAAAGCUUACUGGAGGCAGGAAAACUAAGUUCGGAAAGAAUAGGAGGAAGUGUGCCUGCCAUUUAGCCAAACAACCUUUAAUUCAUUGAGCUCAAAGCUUAGCAGCUUCACUGUGGCUGCUGGGCAUAAACAGCUGGCAAAUUUCAAUUUUUUUUCUCUUUACUUUUGAACUGGAUUUAGGCAAUGAGGGUGAUAACCAUGUUUUAGAAAAGAAAAUAGGAAUCUUGGGUGCUUAGACACAAUGAAGAGAAACUUGCAAGAAGUUUAUGAGGAUGAAAGAAAAAGAUAGUGGGAUGAACUUCAGAUGAUUGCAUGUCCGCAGUUAAGGAUGGUCCAGCACUUCAAAGUCAGUUCUGAAUCCAUUUUAUUGCACAACAGAGUGAAAUCUAAGACAUUGGGCUUGCCUUGUCUUUGAGGAAAUACCUCCAGCCCUGCUCUUCGUGGGCAGACAUGCUUGGAUCGCUGUGAUUUCCAAAUGGUUUCCUGAAGUAACACUUGGCUGAGAGACAGAUGACAGCAAGGUGAAGGAAAGGUUAGGGUUAAACAUGGAGGGAUGUAGGACACACAACUGUGCACAAAUGCUCAGUUUUCCUGCGGGAGAGGGCGGAUGAGGAGGGGCCUGGGCUUCACCAAUGACCCUUACCGCCUCUGGGGUAGGGAAGAGGAGGAGAGGUAGGGAGGCCCAGCCAGCCUUCACGUGUGGAAUGUGCUUUCCAAGUCAGUUUUUUUUUUUUUAAAUAUCUCAGUAACAUAACUGCUGGAUCCUGCAGAUACCGCCAUUGUGCUUUCUUAUCAGUAGUGACUGAGCACUCGGUGACAGUGUCAGGCAUUAAGUGACCUGCAGUCAAGGUCGAGAUAUCUGGGUUGAGUGGUGCUGGUGUUGGUUUCACAAAACAGAGAAUUCAGGAACCAACAAGCGAGUUGGGAUUAUGUCUGUAGCUCCAGGAAUAGGAGUCUAGGUCAAGGGAAAAACUAAUACCUUCCUGUAACUUCUCCCACCUGGGAGCUGGGGCUGUUCUGGGGGCCCUCGGGGGCAAAGAGGUGGUGCGCAGAGGGGCACGCAGCUCUGCAGUGGGCACCUCCGUGUUUUCCAUCUGAAACCACGCCCAUGUCUUCGGAGCCGCUAACUUGUCCUUCCUCAGUGUCCUUCUCUCAAUUGCUUUGGCUUAGGACAUUGUCUGUAAAUUUUUUCUUCGCCCUGAAAUCUACCAGGUAACUUAACAUGAGUCUGCUGCCUCCUCUCAGUGCCCCUUUGGAUUCUCUGAUAUCACUACUGAAAUGCUCAGCAAUCUGUCACACAUCAUUUUAGGCUGGAACUCAUAGCAAUCCUCUUGCCUUGGCCUCCCACGUGCUGGGAUUACAGGCAUGCAUCACCAUACUGGGUUUAGAAGACUUCUAAAUGAUAAUGUGAACAACCCUUUUCAGCUUUUACUCCUCUAGAUCCCUGCAUCAUUUAAGAUUCUAAAGCUGGGCUGGGGAUUUAGCUCAGUGGUUUCGCCACCUGCUGUGCAAACACAAGGACCAGAGUUUGAUCCCCCGUACCAAAAAAAAAAAAAAAAAAAGAUCCUAAAGUUUUCCUUUGUCAAAUUCUGCGACAGUGUUGCUCUUUUGUUCUUUCUAUUUUUUUAAGAACGUUUUCCCUACAUCUGCAAAAUGGCCAUUUACCAAGAGACGCUGUUUCGCACUGCUCUCUAACUCCUUUUCCCGCAGAGAACUUGUUCUCGGCCUCACUUUAAAUAGUCCUGUGCUUGCUCAUCUAGCUGUGAGGAACUGCAGCCUGAACUCUAGGCCAGUUGUCUUCUUGUCAGCAAGAUGUUUCUCCUGGUGUUCCAUCAUCGUGUCAAACUCGGCAAGUCCAAGAUAAAAAUCCUGUCCUCUUCCUGUUCUACUCUGCCCACAAGGUUUCCUGUGAUGGCGACAUCAUCCCGUGCAGCUGGGGACGCCUGUCCUCCCACUAAGCCAGUGGCUCACUCUUCCUGCUGAAUGUGUCUCUUAGCCAUUCCUCCAUCCAUCACUGCUGCCUGUUCUCAUUCCCUCUCACCUUAUUUGUGGACACUCUAAGCACCCUCUACAGCUGGUUCUUUUCCUCAGGGGCUCCCCUUUCACACUCAACUCCUCGGAGGUUAAUCUGGGCAGAGCCACAAACUGCCUGGGGUCUCAGCCAAGGGCAUGGGACAGAAAUAUGGUGAAAGUGGCUGUAUUGUUAUAAGAAAGGGUGCAUCUCCUGAAAUUGCAAGAAGCCAAGUGGAGAAGUGGCAAGGGCCUCUCCAGAAACCAGAGCACCAAGGGCCUGAGGAGCCAGGUGCCUGCUGGAGCCUGAGGAUCCCCCUCUCUUGCCUCAACCCCUGCCCUCCCCUCAAACAAGAUAUAGCCUCAUAUAUAAGUGGUUAAUUGAUAUUUUCACUAGGACACAGAUUUAUGUGUAAUAGAGAUCAGAAAUGUUUUUAAAUUAUAAGCAUCACAUACAGUAUGAUUAUACCUUGGGCUUAGGUAUGUCCACAUGCGAUUUGAGAUCCUAAACUGUCUUAAUCAUUUUUACCUUUCCUGAUAUAAGAUAUUACAUAUAGCAACUUCCUAAUCUUAUGAUUGGCAAAUAAUGAAGAGUAUUAGCAAGCUGGGGAUUUAGCUCAGUGGCACCACGCCUGCCUGGCAAGCACAAGGUCCUGAGUUCAAUUCCUGGUACCAAAAAAAAAAAAAAAAACUGCAAAUAUUAGCAAGGUGUACAGAUUCCCACAUGUGUGUAUGCUCAUAUGGUUUUCUCCAGCUGACCUUUCAUCAUUGUUUUUUCAUUCUUUAGGGCUAGACAUUGUUUUUUCAAAUAUCUACUUUUAAGGCAUAAUACAUUUUGUAAUACAGAUAUGAUGGAAUGUUGUGCAGCCAUCUAGAACAAGAUUAUGUUUUGGGAAGAAUAUUUGACUAAUUCUUUAAUGUAAAAAAUAUGUCUAAUGACAUUGGAAAUGUUUACAAUAUAUGAUUAAUACAAAAAGCAGUUUGAAAAUCUGCAUGUCUAUUAUAAAUUUUAGAAAAGAACAGAGAUAUAAUUUGUUAGUUACCUCUUUCUGUGUAACAAAUCAUUCCCAAAUUAAGUGGCUUUAUAUAACAGUAAUCAUUUUUACCUGUCAUAAUUUCUGUGGAUCAACAAUCCAGAGGUUCAGACUAAGGAGAGUGUCAUGAGAGAUUGUAGCCAGAUGUCAUUUAGGGCUAGCAUCAUCUGAAGACUUGCUGGGGACCAUAACUUCUAUUUUUCCAUUUCCCCCCUAGAUUUGCUAAGGUAUAAUUGACAAAUCAAAAUUUCAUCUAUUUAUGCUAUGAAAUGUAAUGUUGUAAUAUGUGUAUACAUUCUGAAAUGAAUACAUCAAGUUAUUUAACAUAUCUGUUACCUCACAUAGUGUUUUUUGGAUGGUAAGAACAUUUAAGAUCUACUUUUAGCAAUUUUCAAAUAUAUAAUGUAUUAUUAUUAACAACAGACACCGUACUGUACAAUAGGUUUCCAGAACUUACUUAUCCUGCAAAACUGAAACUUUGUGUCCCUUGACCAGCACUCCCUAUUUCCCUGAAUACCUCUACCAAGGCUUUCAAAAUCACAGUUCUAUUCUCUGAUUCAGUGAGUUCAACUUUUUUGGAUUCCACAUAUAAGUGAGAUUUUGCAGUAUUUGUUUUUCUGUGCCUGACUUUCACUUAACAUAGUGUCCUCCUAUCUCAUCCAUGUUGUACCAAGCAACUGAUUCAAACUCCUAACAGGUUAUUGGUCUAUUCAGAUUUUCUGUUUCAUCACAAUUCAAUCUAGGUAAGUUGUAUGUUUCUAGGAUUAAUUUGUUUUUUCUAGUUACAUUGUAUAACAUGUAAUCUAUCUUGGAGAAUGUUAUAUGUGCACUUAAAUAUAGUGUAUAUUCUGUACUUGUUGUAUGGCAUAUUCUCUUUAUGUUGUUAGGUCCAUUUUGUCUAUAAUGUUGUUCAAGUCUGUUGUCUCCUUAUUGGUUUUCUAUCUAGAGUUGAAGGUGAGAUAUCAGAGUUCCCUAACCUUAUUGUAUUGUUGUCUAUUUCUGUCUUUAGUUCUGUUAAUAUUUUCCAUUUAAAUGUUUCAAUAUUAGUUGCAUAUAUAUGUAAUUGUUAUGUCCUUUUGACGAAUUGUCUGCUUUAUCACUGCCUUGUUUUAUAGUUUUAGAUGUGAGGUCUAUUUUAUUUGGUAUAAAUAUAGCUACUUCUGCUCUCUUUUGUUUGCCAUUUGCAUGGAAUAUAUUUUCCAUCCUUCAACUUUCAGCUUAUGUGUGUCUUUAAAGCUAAUGUGAGAUUCUUUUAGAAAGCAUAUAGUUGGAAUGUUUUUUGGUAUUGAGCCUUCACACCAAGCUACAUUCCUUGUCCUUUUUAAAUUUUGGGACAAGGUCUCAGUCUGUAAGGAAUAUCUGGCCAUAUAGUUAAAUGUUUUGUUUUAUUCAUUCAGUCACUCUAUGUCUUUCAAUUGGAGAAUUUAAUUUAAUCUAAUUCCAUUUUAUGCAAUUGUUGAUAGGUAAGUAUUAUUGUAUUAGUCAGCUUUCCUGCAGCUGAGACACAAUAUCUGAUAUCCAAAACUUAAAAGAGGAGAGGUUUAAUUUGCCUCAUGGUUUUAGAGUGUUCAGUCCAUGGCCAAUUGGCUCCAAGGCAGGAACAUCAUGGUGGAAGAGUGUGGUGGAGUAAAGCUUCUGAGUUCAUGGUGGCUGGGAAGCAGAACAGGGUCAUAGCUCCAAAGACAAAAGGGUGAGUGGCCAGAUAUAGACCCCAAGGUCAUGCCCCUAUGACCAACCCAGCCAUACCAGAAGUGCACUUUACUCAUAAUCCCUUGGGUGGCUCCCAAGCCAAUCAAAUUGACAAUUGCUUAUAGUGUUUUGUAUUUCUUAUGCUUUGUUCUUCCUCUUUUGCUGAUUUCCUUUGUGACUGGAUGGUCUUUUUUAGUUGUAUGCCUUGAUUCUUUACUUUUUAUAUUUACUAUAUUUGCAGUAGGUUUUUUGCUUUAUAUUUACCAUCAGGCUUACCUAAAAGGUCUUAUAUUUACAAUAGUUUGUUUUAGGCUGAAGAUAGCUUAACUCUAACUGCAUAUAAAACUGACUUCUCUUUCUCCAUAUUUUGUCAUUUAUGUCACAAUAUACAUCUUUUUAGCUGGACAUGGUGGUGCACAUACACUUGUACUCCUAGCACUUGGAAGGUUAAGGCAGAAGUACUGCUAUAAGUUCUAAGCCAGCCUGCAUCAUAUAGUAAGUUUAAGUCCAGCCUAAAAUACAUAGCAAGACCCUGUCUCAAAGAAAAAAAAGAAAAAACAGAACAAAAUAAACAAACAAGUACAGUGGACCCUCAAGUUACAACCGGUAUGACAUACAAACAACUUGUGUUAACUAGGUUAAUGGAAGAUUCAUCUUCCUUUUGUUAUCUAUAGCGUGUACUCAACUAAGCAUCCAGAUCUCAGCUAUAUUGACUUGGUUACAACCAGCCUUUUGGAACCAAUCGAAUUCAUAAGUCAAGGGUCCACUGUACAUAUAUAAUUUUAUAUUGUGUAUUAUAAUUAAUAUUAACAAAUUAAUACAGUUAUAAUUAUUGCUUUGUCAUUUAAUUUUAAUACUGGAGUUAAAAGUGAUUUAUGCACCACCAUUACGGUAUUAUAAUACAGAUGAUCCCCAGUUUACUAUGAUUUGACUUAUGAUUUUUAAAAAAAUUUAUGAUGAUGCGAAAGUGACACUGUUUAGUUGAAACUAUUCACAUUUUGAGUUUUGAUUUUGUUUUUCUAGGCUAGUGAUGUGCAAUACAUACUCUCUGCUGAUGUGGGACAGUGGCAGUGAGCCACAGCUCCCUAACAGCUAGCUACCUGAUCACAAGUGUAAACACCUGGUACUCUACAUAUACAGUAUUGCUAAGCUGUGAUAGUUGGUAGGAUAGGACAACUAGGUGCAUUUUUGACUCACGGUAUUUUUAAUUUAUGGUCAGUUUAUUGCAAUAUAACUCCAUUGUAAUUGAAGAGUACCUGUAUUCUGAAUUACCUUACCACUGAGUUUUAUAUUUUCGUAUGUUUACAUGUUGGUUAGGAGCCUUUCUUUGCAACUUGAAGAACUCCUGUUAGUACUUAAGACAGAUCUAGUGGUAAUGAACUCCCACAGCUUUUGUUUGUCUAGAAAAGUCCUUUCAUCUUCAUUUUUAAAAGACAUUCUUGCCAAGUCUAGUAUCUUGGUUGGCAGUUUUCUUUUUUAUUUUGUUUUUAGUUUUUGAGACAGGGUCUUGCUAUUGUAGUUCAGUCUGGCCAUGAACUCACUAUGUAGCCAAGGCUGGCCUUGAACUCAUGGCGAUCCUCCUGCCUCAGCAUCUGAAAUGCUGGAAUUAUAGGCAUACACCACCACAUUUGGCAAAUUGGCAGAUAUUUUUCUUUCAGCACAUUAUGAAUAUCAAUCACACUCCUGCUUGCAAGAUUUCUGAGCAAUCCACUGAAAGUCUCUUGAGGGUUCCCUGUAUUUGAUGAGCUGCUUUUCUCUUGCUGUUUUCAAAAUUCACUCUCUGACUUUUGAGAAUUUUGUUAUAAUGUGUCUGGGUGAAAAUAUCUUUAUAUAUAAUCUACUCAGGGAUCUUAGGACUUCAUGGAUCUGAAUAUUCAUUUUAUUUUCAGAUUUCUGGAGUUUUCUGCCAUUAUUUCUUUAAAUAAGCUUCCUGCCCUGUAUUUUUUUCUCUUUGCCUUCCAUGAAUCCCAUAAUGUAUAUUAAAUUUCUUGACAGUGUCCCUAUAGAAUUGUAGAUUUUUUUUCUUCAUCAUUUUUUGCUUUUCACACUUCUGACUAGAUAUUUCAAAUAAUCUGCCUCUUGCUUAUUCGAUCCUCCCAUUGAAGCUUUCUGUGGAAUUUUCAGUUCAAUCUUUUAGCUCCAGUGUUUCUGGAGGUUUUGUUGUUCUUGUUUUCAUUGUUUAAUAGUUUCUAUAUCUGUGUUGAGUGUCUUGGUUUUGCUUGUUCGUUUAAUGGUUUCUGUAUCUUUGGUGAACAUCUCACUUUUUUGUUUGUCUGUCUAAUGAUUUCUGUAUCUCUCUUGAGUAUCUCAUUUUAUUUAUAUUAUUCACCUGAUUUUAUUUAGGUAUCUCUUCUCUUGUAGCUUGCUAAGCUUCUUUAAGAUGAUUAUUAUGAUUUUUUGGCAGACAUUUCAUAGAUUUCCAUUUCUUUAGGGUCAGUUACUGGUGCUUUAUUUUGUUGUUUGGUAAUGUCAUGUUUCUCUGAUUAUUCAUCACUCUGUAGCCAUAUGUUGGUGCCUGCACACUUGAAGAAGAUACUUGUUCUGUUACAUACUAACUUUGAUGGGGAAAACUCUUCACUGGUUGGUGAAACUCUGGAUAGUUCACUGGAAACGAUGGAUAGGCUGUCUGGUGGAGUCUGAGGGUAGGUUGCUGUCCACUCCUUGUGCAAACUGGCCUGGUGCUUGGGUCAAUGAGUGGUGAGAGGGCAGGCCUGAAGCUUGGAUCUCCUGGGAUGGACCUGGAUCUUGGGUUUUUGGGAGCUGGCUGAAAGCCUAGGUCCAUAGAGUCUGACCUGGUGCUGGGGUAGGCCUCGAGCUUGAGUCCUUGGAACCCACUCAGCAUUGGGAUGGGCCUGCCUAACUGUGGAGACAAGACUGGAUCCUGAGUUCACAGAGGCUGGCCUGAUGCUGAGCCUGGCCUGGAGUCUGGUUCCACAGAGGCUUCCUAGAUAGAGGUCAGGCUGCCAGGAUGGGCCUGGCUCUCUGGAAGAUCUGGAGCCUGGGUCUGUCAUAGGCUUACCUUUGUGCUUUGUCAGAAAUGAAGCCUAAGGCUAUGGAGGCCUUCCUGGAUCCUAGAGCCUUGGGAGCUAGCCUGGUGCUUAGAUGGACUCGGGCGCUUGGUCUAUGGGUGCUGUCCUGGAGCCUGUGGCCUUGCGCACUUCUUUGGUGCUGGGCCUCACUGGUACAGGCUUCAUGCUGGAGUCCACAGUAAAGUUAGGAGCUCCCUGGUCACUGGAUGAGGCCCAGAUAAAGGCGGACACGUUUAAGCUGGAAAAUGAAUUGUGGUUUGAGACCUAGCCUUCUUUGCUCUCAGAAUUCUACAGGCAAGGCAGAAAAUGUAACUGCUAAUAGGUUUUGAGUUUUAUAUCUUGUAACUUGGCCACAGAAAAAAGAUGUUCUGGUUCCAUAUCUGAAAAAUAUGGGUAAGGGAUGCAUUAGGUUAGGGAACUGUCCACCUGAUUCAGUUGCUUACUCUUAGAGCACUCAAAUGUGGCCUAACCAGAGAAGGACAUUGAUUGGCAGAGUGGGGGUUACACACCCAAGGGAAGAUGGGCGAUGGGACUGUGGUUGAAGGUAGUGACUGGAGAGAAGAGAUUUGGGAUGUCAGGCAGUGUCAUAGACAUCAACUAUAACUUCUCAGCCAUUUCUGUCUGAGACAAUGUCAUGUAGGUGAUGACGCCAUGAGGCUUAAGAUUAUCUUAAUGAAUGUAAAAAUGCACACAGUUUACAUUUUUAUAACACAGUAUGGUUUUUCAAUGAACUUUUUACUAUAUUAUUUCUAUUCUUUUCAAAAGCAAUCCGUGAAACAAAUUCUCCCAUUCCUAUCUUGUUGAUUCACUUUUUCUUGAAAGCAGAAUUAAAGGUUUAUUAUAUCAGUGAUAUCAUUCAAAUAGCUUUUGAUUGUUCGUUUGUUUGUUUGUUUUUGGUAUGGGGAUGGAACUUGGGACCUUGCGCUUGCGAGGCAGGUGGCAGCACCACUGAGCUAAAGCUCCGGCCCUCAAAUAGCUUUUGAAGAAAACUUUGGUGAAAAAAAUCAUCCAUUUAGCUUAUUGGAUCCUUGUAAUACAUAUAAAUUCCACGGGUGCAUAAGAUGCACCCGUGGAAUUUAUAAAACAAACAAUAAAAGAAAACCUAGGAAGCAAUAAUAUGAAAAUAGGCCAAGCAGGGGCCUGGGAUUUAGCUCAGUGUUUCCGGCGCCUGCCUUGAAAGCACAAGGUCCAGAGCUUGAUCCCUGGUACCAAAAAAAAAAAAAAACCAAUUUGUGGUGAUCCUCCAGCCUCAGCCUCCUGAGUGCUGGGAUUACAGGCAUGUAUCACCACAUCUGGCUUGAAAAUAGGCCAAGCAGAUCAGAAGCAAGGAUUCCAGUCACUAUGCCUACCUCUACCAUAUGGUAUCACCUUACUCACACCAAUAGCAAAAACUGGGAAUGAGGGAAGAGUUGUUCCUAAGCAGGCUACUCCACUGAGAUCCUUUACAGACUUGGUGACUCUUAAAUCAGACUUAUAAUGUGGUGGAUUCACUCUCCAAGUGGAUUAAGAGAGGGAUGGGAUGAGAAAUUUUGUCUUUGAUUCUUAGUCCUGUGGAGUAUUCCAUUUUAGCACCCCAGUGAUCAGGACAGGACCACAAACUCCUACAUAAUAGGGAAGGGGGAAGGACAUUUGGAGAGAUCUUAUGCUCAGAGCAUGAGCUGCACUAAUAUUCCUAGUUUCCUAGUGUCUCACCCACAGUUCCCUGCACCUGAGGCCCAUUAUGUGUAAAAUCCACAAAGGCUGAGGAAGAGCUGCCAAGGAUUGAUGGCCUGGAGGAGCCACAGGGCCUCUUGUUGGACUAAGACUAAAGAGUUAACUUCUGGAAAGAAUUUUCAUCUACUUUCCCAAUAAGACUGAUUAGAACCAUCUAUCUAGUCCUGAGAUUUCAUGAAGGGACAGAUGGGAUGUGCCAUCUGGCCUGGUGAAGCUUAGUCUGGGUUGCUCAGAGGAGUUUUAGCUCCACCAUGCAGGGAAGGACUUUACCUUCAGAUGUUCUAAGGAGCAGAGGUGCUAGGAGGUGCUAGACAUUGUCCCACCCUGCCCUGUACAUCUCAAUUUUAAGUACAAGGUGCUGCAUUAUUUCUUAAUAUACCAACUGAGUACCUGUUAGACAACUUCACAUUUACCAUUUUGCUGAGAUUAUAGCAUGGAAACAUUUCUUAUUGCCAAUUCUCUGUUUCCCUUCUACUUCUCUCACCCUCUACUCUCUCCACAAAGUGAGCUUCUUUUGUUAUUGUUGGUAUAAAGAACUUUCCUUCAAUUAAUUUCAAGGCCUCAGAAGAGCAGUUAAGAGGGCUUGAGUUGGGGAGAGGUCUUGAUCCUCUUAUUUACACAUAUACAGCCCCACAUCUGUGAAGCUGAACUGAUUAUGGAUCUGUCCUUUAGUUUAUUUUUUAAUGAUAAUGUCUACAUUUAAUAGUGAGUGGAGAGAUGGAGGGAGGGGGAAAUUCUUAAAAAGAAUCAAGGUAUGUUAUGAACAUGUACCAAUUCCCCAAGAUGAAUCUAUGCAUUAUGUACUGCAAACAUGUCCUAAUACAAAUAAAAAUUUAAAAAUAGUACAUUUAGGCCAUAUCCACUGUGUUUAUAGAAGUAUUAAUGUUAUUUUUAUUUUCUAUUGCCAUUGUUUUUUUAUUGUCUCCAUUUUCUGCCUUUUAUUUGAUUUUUCAAGUUUUUAUAUUCCAAUUUUUCCUCCUUUGUGAUUUAGAAGCACAUAAUUUAAGUUUCUUUUGUAUGAGUGGUUAUAUUUAAAUAUAUACUUGACUUAAUAAAAUAUAUAUCUUCAAUCUUCUUCUGAAUAAUAUCUUAGAAACUUUUAAUUCUGAUCUCAUUCUCCCAUCAUUGAUGUUAUUGUUGUUAAACAUUUUAGUUCCAUAAAAAAAAUUAGCUUUGUUAAGUUAUAAUUGACACAAUAAAUUUCACAUAGUUUCAGUAUACAAUUUGAUGUCUUGAUCUAUGCAUACACCCAUGAAACUAGCAGCACAACAGAAUAAUUAAUAAACCCAUUUAAAAAAAAAUGAUGCAUUUCACACACACAUAUAACUGGCUGCAUAUUACCGAGAUUGGCUAGUUUUCUGCAAACUCAUUUCACUUGAUGAAGGACCUGUGAUGAUCACUAUUCAUCAAACCACAAGGCAUUGCGCUAAGUGCUUGUGCUAGGUAGCUUUCCACUGCUAAGACAAGAGCCUGAGAUAAUCAGUGUGAUUAAGAAAAAAGGUUUCUUUUGGCUCAGUUUUAGAGAUUUCAGUGCAUGAUCAGCUGGCCCUGUUGCCUUGGCCCUGGGGCAGCACAUCACAGUGAGAAUGCAUAGUGGAGCAAAGCUGCUCACCUCAUGACCAGGAAGUAAAAAGAGAGGGAAGAGGAGGCUGGGGCCCCACAGUCCCCUUCAAGGGCACAGCCCUUAUGACCUGAAGAUCUCUCACUAGGUCCCACCCCUUAAAGUGUCUACCACCCCCCAUUAAUUCCAGGGGCUGGAGCCCACCUUUAACGGGUAGAACUUUGGAGAAUGUUUAUCCAAACCAUAGUCCUGCUUGUUCCUAUUGUCUUUAAUUUUUAAUUACACAAACAAUACAGGUUUGUUAUAAGUGAAUGUACUCAAUACUAAAAUGAAUUGUACAGAAAGAAGAAAGACUUGGGAUCCUCUUGUUUAAGAGUGGAUAUAUUUUUAUUGCUUACUGUUACAGCAAUUAUUUUCUAUGCAUUUGAAAGCAUGUGUUAUUAUAAUAAAAAUGGAGCUAAAUGUAUAGUUUUUUUCCAGCUCAUUUACCUGCUACAUCAAGUUUGUCUUUUUAUCCUUUUCAUGCCUGAUGUACACACACAACAUUGACUGCAUGUAUUGUGAUUAUUUUGAUUAUUUUCUUUUUUCUUUCUUUCUUUCUUUCUUUCUUUUUUUCUUUCCUCUUUCCUAUGACAAAUAUCAUAUUGAACUUGUCUUACAUAUAUUUUUGUGUACUGACCACAUUUUUAUAGGAUAAAUUUCUAAAGUGGAAUGCAUUAUUUCCUAUCUGAGUCCUAUGUAGGAAGCCUAUAUAGCUAGCCACCCUUUGAUUAGCUUUUUUCUUUUACAAAUGAGGAAUUUGAUCCUUAAAUACUUAUUUAAUUUAUAAGUACAGAAUAGGGAACAGGAAUCCUUGUAUCCUUUUCCGUGGCAUGCAACCUUCCCACCUGGUUUUCAUACUAGUUUAGAAAAUGGUUAAAGAAGAAAAACUUUAUGGUGGAACUGUCAGGGGAAUUACUAGGAAUUCUCAGCUAAGAAUAUCCUACGUAAUUAGAAUGUAGGGGACAUAGUUGUUCAAGCAAUUUAUAUUUUUGCCUGGCCUCUCAACUGAGGACAUGAACGUGAGCUGAUGGUCUAUUAAUAGCAGGUUACUGUGAAGCAUCCUCGGGAGGUUGCAAAGGAGCUGUCUGUCAUGGGCACCUAGGAAAUGCUUGCCCACUUUUUGUUCUGAAGUAAAGGACACAUCUGGCCAGUAUAUUGGGUCCAAAAUUGGACUUAUAUUUAUUUUACUUAAUAAGAGCUUUUAAAUCAUAUGAUCACUUGUUGGUUGCUAUUUUUAAUGCGCCAGGGGUGCAGACAUUUCUUGCGAUUCUUUCUAAAUAAAGAUCAAUUUUCUACACAAGGAUUGUUUUAAUAAUGUGGACAAAUUUCUCUUAAUUUGCAUGAGUAUAGUGUACUUAUUUUUCUUAUAUCCAAGAAUCCUGUGGUCAGUUGUUUGUGUCUUGAGAGUGUAUUGCCUGGUGCAGCCAUACAAGUUAACAGGAAUGUGGAGUACAUAUGCUGUUAAAAAUACAGACAAAUAUAUUCCAACACCUCACUCCAAUCUCCCAAGCUAAACUAGAUGGAGGAAACUUACAGUUCGGACAAGAUGGUUUUAGAUUAAACCCUCCUCCCCCCAGGUGUGUAACUCUAGACACUGGGUGCUCUUCGUGUGCCUGCCUCAGCAGGCAUGUGAGGGAGCUGACGCUUCAGCUACAUGGCCUCGGUCUAGCAAAUGAGGUCGAAACAGUACAGGGCUGACUCACCCUUUUCCCCACCUGCUGUGAAAGGGUAGUAAAAUGUUUUUAGUCCGGCCUUAAUAUUUUCUUUCUUCAUAGCACAUUAGUUCACAUUUGCUCAUAAAAAGAUUUUUAAACCAAUAAGCAAUCGAUUGUAUGCCUGGAAUGAUCUUUAGAGUUCACGGACAGUUGGUGCGUGUGCAUGACAAGGGCUGAAAUAGCAGGGAGUGAAGAAACGCCAACUUUGAAACAAGGUGUGGUGGUGCUUGCCUGUAAGCAAAGCGCUCAGGAGGCUGAGGCAAGAGGCCAGCCUGGGCUGCACAACGAGAACUUGUCUGAAAAUGAGACCGGGGGUGGGGGUGGGGGGCUUUUAAUGGAUCGAUUUUAGUCAGUUGAGUUUGAAAGAACAUUCUUUCUCUUCAUGAAACAUAAGCAAGCAUCUUCAGCAUAAAUGAUUUAGUAAACAUACCUGUUAGGACAUAAUUUUGAGAUGAAGUUGUUAGUGGUUCUUGUCCUACAGUCUUGAUCCUCAAAGCUAACAUUUCUCAAGGUUUCUAACUCAUGACCUUUGCAUUGCUAUUUGUUCAGUGUGGGGGAAAUAAUUGACAAAGCAUAGUUAAGCCAGGUAUGAGCAAAAUUGGUUGGGACAAAUUUUCAUCAGUAAUAACUCUUGCAAGAGGAGGAAAAAGCCUAGCGUGAACUGAACUCAACUUUUUGAUUUUUACAGAGAGAAUGAGGGGGUUGGCAGGGAACAAGUAGGGGAUCAGUAGAAUCAGAAAAGCAAAGAAUUACAAAGGGUUGGUGGGUGUACAUGAGAUUAGACCACCUGUGUCUGCUGACUGACAGUUAAAAAGUUAGUAUUCUGGUCUCCCAUGGUUGGAAGACAAAGGUUCUUUUCUCAAGUGUGGGCAGGAACAGUCUUUAUUUUUUUUUAUCCUUGAGUUUUCCCAGGCAGACACUUGAAAGGGGACUACAGUCAUCUUACCCAUGUGGCCAUGAGCUGCUAGAAACCAUCCUAAGGUUUGUGCUGGACUUCAGAGGCCAAGAUUGAGGCUGUGGUGAGGAGAGAGCUCAAAGGAGCCCAGCUAGCAUUUGGUCAAGAAGAACAGCUUCGUCGAUAGCAAAUGGAUACAUAAUUUUACACUCCCAGUAAUUUCAGUUUUGUACAUCUAUAUGGUGGACAGACAAUCAGCAGCAACUGGAGAUACAGGUACAAGAAUUGUUAGUUCAACAUUAUUUACAGAGACAAAAACUGGGGACAUUUUGAAUAUUCAUCAACAAAGCGAAUAACCUAUUGAUGUAGCUGUACUGCAGGGUAGGAUGCAGUUCUUAAAAACAAUUUAAACCUAUAUUAUUGACUUUGGAUCCAAUAUACCUGUCUGUGAUGCAUUAUUAAAGCAGAAAAAUCAACUUAUAGAGUAAGAGAGUUUUAAAAUAUGAAAAAGUAGAACACAUACAGGUGUGGCCAAAAUAUAUAGUGAAUGUUUUAAAUUAAAAAAAAAUUUUUUUUGGUACCAGGGAUGGAACUCAGGUCCUUGUGCUUGCACAGCAGGUGGCGAACCACUGAGCUAAAUCCCUGGCCCUUAAAUUUUAAAUUUUUAUUACAAUAAAAAUCACAUUGCUAUUAAUCCCCUUCACUUUGAAGAUAUUCAUCCCAUCAUUUUUGCUACUUUCUGAAGCAGUUCUGGAAGUUCUCUUUCCUGAGGGUCUUUAUGAGUUAUGAUAAAAAAAAAAUAGGGUGUAUGUUGCUGCUGAGGGCCACCCCAUGGAAAGCCAGGCUUCUAAAAACAUUGCAGUGUGUCUUCAUCCCCCUUAUUCACUGAAUCUGACACUGAUUGACUUCUGGUUUUUCCCCAAAGUCAAAAUGACCAUGAAAGGUCAACAUUUUGAAUCAAUUGUGUACAUCAUGGUAACAGCCAGAACAGCACAACUAAGGGCACUCCUGAAAGAGGACUUCCAGAACUGCUUCAGAAAGUGGCAAGAAUGAUAGGAUAAAUGUUUUCAAAGUCAGAGGGAAUAUUUUGAGGGGAUUAGUGACAAGGUGUCUUUUACUUUAAUAACUUUUAAAAAUUUAAACAUUCACUGUAUUUUAUGAUAGCUCCAUCUACAUACAAAUAUGUGUGUGUGUGUGUUUGUGUAUGUGUGAGAUAUAUUUUUAUGUGGUCUCCAUGAGAUCAGAAGAUAGGAAAAGGGGGUUAUUCAAUUUUUUAUUUAGGUAUUCUUUGAAUUAUUCAACUUACUACAAUGGGCAUGUAUGGGGUUGUGUGUGUGCGUGCAUGUGUGUUGUACUGGGGAUUGAACCCAAGGACUCACAAACCCAAAGCAGGUGCUCUACCACUCAACUACAUCCCCAGCCCUUUUUAUUUUAUUUUGAGACAAGUCACUCUAAAUUGCCCAUGCUGGUCUCAAACUUUCCAUCCUCCUGCCUCAGCCUUCCAAGUAGCUGCAAAUACAGGCAUAUGCCAGAGUGCUCCAAUUUUUAAAUUCAAGUAUUUCAUAAAAUAAAAGUAAACAAAUACAGGAGUCUUGCUUUUUUUAUUUUGUGAAACAAGAAAGGAGACCAGUCUUCACUGUGAUGGUAUUUGCCUUCUGUAGCAUGGCUACUAGAAUGCAGAUGUAAACAUUAUUGCUGGGGAUUCAGAUUCCUAUCAAAGCUUCACAGCUAAGCCUGGUGUUUAUCAGCUGUUGUAAUCUGUGCUCCUUUUCUUUGUUUUUUGGUAUCGGGGAGCGAACUCUGGACCUUGCGCUUGCGAGGCAGGUGGUGGAACCACUGAGCUAAAUCCCCGGCCCCUCGCUCCUUUUCAUUGCUGAGGGACUUUAUUGAGCUUUUGACCUUCUGUGAUCUUAUAUUAAGAAAACAAAAGCCAGGCGUGGUGGCGCAUGCCUGUAACUGUAAUCCCAACACUGAGAGGCUGAGGCAGGAGGAUAGUUUUGAGUUUGAGGCCAGCCUGAGCUCAAUAGUGAGUUCCAGGGCAGCCUGAACUACAUAGCAAAAUUUAUCUCAAAAAAACAAAAAAAUAUGAAAAAGUAAAAGAGAACAUUGUGCCCACUCCUCAGUUCUUAUCGCUCAGUUUAAGAUGUUUUACCCCAGCAUAAAUGUGUGACCUGCUUUUCACUAAUAAGAGUGGCCAUCACAAACAUGAGCUAUGAGAAUUAUCUUUUCUCUUUAGUAGCACUAGGAAUUGAACCCAGGUCCUUUGCACUGCGUUACAUCCCCAGCCCAUAUUUACAUUUUUAAUUUUGAGACAGGUUCUUGCUAAGUCGCUAAAUUGUAUUGAGCUCAGACUUAUAAUGUUCCUGCCUCCGCCUCCUCCAGAUUGCUGGAAUUAUAGGCAAGAGAACACUAAUUUUCAAAUUAAAACAUUAGGCUAGGUGUGGUGGCACAUGCCUAUCAUCCCAGCACUUGGGAGACUGAAGUGGGGGGAUCGUGGCAAGUUCAAUGAGGCCAGCCUGGGCUGUAUACAGAAAUGAGUUCAAAGUCAGUCUGAACUGUAGUGAGACCCUGUCUCAAAAAAAAAAAUAAAACAUUAGAUAAAACUGAAAAUUCCUCCACUGCUUUUCUUUUAUGUGCUGGUAAAAUUGCCUUUUUAGUUUACUCCCUGUGAUCUAAAAAUGAAAAAUCCUGUUGUAAUAGUAUUAGAUCCUCAUUCCUCAGUGAGUUCCCCCUCUCUGUGGUUGCCUUUGUGUUUGCUCAGAAGCCCUAAGAAAAAAGUCUUAGCUAAAGAUUUUCCGUACACAAAGAUGUCAGUGAAUACCGAGACUGACACCACAAGGCUGAGCAAAUGCAGCAUAAGAAAAUCACAGCACUAUUGGGUGAAUGUAUGGUAAAGAGUGAGACUUUACAAAAGGAUCCGGAAAUGAGGUCAAGGUCUGGGCCCCCAGGUUUAUAACCUAGCAAUGGGUGGACUAAGACUUGAGCAAGUAGUUCAAUGCUAAGGCUGGAAAGUAGCCUUGUUAGUUAGCUAGCUGGGUUCGAGUAACCUGGUAAUUAAGAGUGAAGAGCAAACGUGAUUGGGUGGGACAUUGCCAUUGCUUAGAAUUAUGCACAAUUUUGACCAGAUGGAAUCAAAUUAAUAUGGCUAUUUUAUAAUUUUGGCCCUGGUGUAAAAAUCCAUCCACCCAUUCAUUCGUUCGUUCACUCAGGAAGUGUUCAUCGAGUGGUACCUUCUAGCUGGGCCGGAACUGUGGUGAAUCCAGGGCAGCUCAAGGACUCAGGAAGAGCCCUGGGUGGAUCGAGGGAAGCCAUAGUGUGAAGCUGGGGUGCAGGGAGGCCAAGCACCCCUAGAGUUCAGGUGCAAGAGCAAGAGGAUUUGGAGUUUUGAGCAGUGUUUUUCCUUUGACUCCUAGGAACCUUGAACGGCUUCCCCCAACUCGUGUAUUCUCUCCCUCGGGGCUGUUUACUAGUUGUGGUGGGCUAGUUAACCUCACUAGAGGUCAUCUGGGUAAAAACAGUAUCUCCUUCAGGCAUUGACAUGAGAAUUAAGGGAGCAGUUUGCUCAGAUGCUACUUGUAACACGUCAUCAAUAAUAUAUUAACAUAUGUUACAUAUUAAUGGGUUCCUAUUAUUAUUAUAGAUCAUUAUCUAUAAUAUAGAUACUUAUAUAUGGCCUUCUACAGGUUCCUCUUUUCUCCCAGAGAUUUGGAGAACAGAGGUUUUUAUCACAUACUUUGGUGAAUCUUUCAAUGCAAACUACAUUGAACAAAGGCAAUACAUUUCUUCCUUUACAGAUGUUGAUUUGCUUUCCUCAAGGGCAUUAGAGGUUGAAAAUUACUUCUUUUUUUUUUUAAAAAAAAGUCCUUCUUUCUUUUCUAUUUGUUACAGCAUAUAACCAGCACAACUCUUCUGAUUAACUGACUGUGACUGGGUACUUAUUUUGACUCUGCAUAGCUCAAAAAGAAAGAAAGGGGGAAAUAACAGGAAGGUUAGUGAAAAUUCCCCAUGAUAAGUACUUAGCUAAAUGUUGGAACUAAAGAAGAGAAACAGAGAAGACAUCAAAAAAGGUGCCAGUACCUAACAGAGGGCAUGCACAAGGUAGAGCUGGAAGAAGAAGAGAGUAAGGCUGCAUACAAAGAAAGUGGAGAGACAGGUUACCAUGAGCUGAUGCCUCAACUUGACCAGCAGGGGGUGGAGCACUAACUCGAAGCAGUUGCGCUUGGCCGAAGCAGAAAGGCUACGUUUCCUGAGAGCCACUCCAGGGGAGAAGAUGCCCACGGUGUGGGGGGGAUGGAUACCCUUGGGCAUCCCUGCGCUUGGGAAGUUCAGACAGGUACAGAGGCCUGAGAGGAUGGCUCUGCAGAGUCCCAAGAGCUUGGACAAGGCCCCCUUCCCUCCUUUCUGCCUCCUUUGAGCCUGGCAAUUCUACCGUUUGCAGUAAUUUGCAGUCUCCUAUUAGGUCCAGUGCUAGCAAGAGAGAGGAGCUAGACUUGAGAAGAAGUGUCUGGCUUGGGUAUUGAAUGGUGAGGCUUCUUUAGCUCUUGGUCCUUUGUCCUUCAUCCCUUUUCUUGUCCAAGGCUUUCCAUCACUGUAAAGACAAGGUAUAAAUACACCAAAAUACUAUUUCAAAUGAUCAGUAGGCCUCUUUUUCUGUUUCUGAUAGAAGAUUGUCACAUCAGCAUGUAUUUUAGGGCACUGCAUUUAGUUUUUUGUUCUUUUGAGACAAGGUCUUGCUCUGCCUUUUGAUACUCGAUAGAAGUUUAUUUCUAUUACUAGCUAUAAUCUCUUAGAAAAUGAUAUUUUGAUGCUUACAAAAUAUUUCAUUUACACUUUGGGAUCUCUUUGUUGGUAACAAAUUAGGCCCUUACUCCCCUGAAAGUGUAACCGGACUGAGGGUUUCCCCCCAUUAUUCUAGAAAAUACUAUCCUCUAUAUGGAGGGAAACUUCUGAUAUGAUUUUCACUGUUAAUAAUUAUGAGACAAAUCCCAGAAUGAAUGAUUGCCCACACAUGCUUCUACACUGAGUAAGAUUUCACUUAUUAAAAAUCAGGGUUGAGCUGGGUGUGAUGCUGUACACCUGUAAUCCUAAUACUCAGGAGGCUGAGCCAGGAGGAUUGCCACAAGUUAGAGACCACCUGUACUACACAGUGAGUUCAAGGAUGGCUUAAACUACAUAGUAAGACCCUGUCUCAAAAAAAAAAAAAUCAAGGUUGACAGUUUAACAGGCUAAUUAUGGUUCUGAAAUCCCCAAGGGGACUUUAACCAUAGUUUUUCAGACAUUCACUUUGCCAAAUAAGCCACUGUCAGAUAUAUCUACUGUACCCUGAAGUGCAAGAGCAACACUGAUUUGGGGAAGUGUCGCUCUUGCUAUACCAAGAGGUCAGACACCCAAGUUCAGAGUAAUGGCUGAUCUUGAUUGUCAGCUUGGUCGGCUUGAGCGAUGCCUAGAUUAGUCGAGCAUGCUCCUGGGGGUGUCUGGGUAGGAUUUGGGGGUGCGACAUUCGGGACUGUGUUUGGUCCCUUCCUCCUUCCUCUCUGGAUCUUUCCAUCUUUCUCUUUUUUCUGGAUGCCAUGAAUUGAGCAGCGUUCCCUUGCCAUGCUCUUCUACAUGAUAAUUCUGCGUAGGCACGAGCAGGCCUCUGACACUGUGCACCAUAAUAAAUUUUCCUUCUUUAAUUGUGUGUCAAGCAUGUUGUCCCAGCAAUGGAAAGGUGGCUAAUGUAAUCAGACACCAUCCCAAACCAGAUACUCCAAGGACUUUCCUUGGGGAGAAGGAUGGUAAGCUAAGGCUGGGAAAACAAGGCCAGGAGAGAAGUAUGACUCCAGAAAAAUUUCCAAGAUGGUUUACUACCUCUCUGAGCAGCAGGAAAAAUGGCAGGUCAGUCCAACUUCUCAGCACACCCAACGGGGCAGCAGAAUAUCUACGAUGUGCUGUAUAAACUUGAUAAUUGCUGUUUCCACUUGCGCUGGCCGAUAAUCUUAGGUGCUCUGCUGAGCCCCAAAAUGUUGACACAGUGCAGCACAUAAUGAUGCAGAAGGUGGUCUUAGGGGACCUGAAGUCAUUUCCUUUGACUCUUUAGAUAAAGCCACAUUUGAUUUUCUUCAGGCGCUCCUCCUACGUUUGCCAUCAGGCAUCUGUGUGCACAGCAGCCCUGGGCUUUGAAGUCAAACCUAAGCAUCGUGGGAUGGGUAGUUAGGGUCUGCCCUCCUCAGGGAUGGUCCACUUAGUCCUGGGGCUCUUCCAGCAAACCCAAGCCUGGAAUUCUGAGAAAAUGAAACCGAGCAGAUUGUGUGUUUCAGGGCCACCUGAAGUGUAGCGCUGUUUCCACCUGCUGUGUGAAUUCCUGCUUCCUUUUUCUUGCCAGUGAAGAGCCCUGGUGAAACUGUGAGUUGAGAGGGCCCAGGGACUGCCAGCCUCUCGUCCCCCUCACAAACACGAUUCAACCUUCCACUGGUGGUGACCUGCCCUCCGGUGGGUCUUAGCAGCUGUUGGCAGUUUUGCACUAAAAGAAAACAAACUGAGGAAUGUACUUCCCUGCAUACUAACGAAAUGGCCCGGCCAACUCAGGGGUGAUGAGAAGGCUUUCGGAACCCAGGAGAAUAAUGAUCCUCAGUCUCUGACCUCCUGGCACGGCUUGCUGUUUAUCAGGAGGCACAUGUGACUGGCUAAGACGCUGAGCUGGGGCUUCAAGGAAACAGCUGCUGCUGGUGUACUUGGCUUUUGGCAGCUGGACAGGCAGAACACAGAGACAAAACCACCCCAGUAAGUAACUGCAGACUUUCAAGCUGUGUGUGCGCGUGUGUUUGCACAAGCUACCAACAACUUAUUUUAUUUUGAUUUUGGUUUCCCUCUGACUCUGUAGAAGGAAAUGCCUUAUUUGUACCUGUUAAUACCCAUUUGUGCUUUUACUAGCCAUUGAAGAACCUGUGAUUUUUAGCAACGUCGUCUUCUAGCUUUGCAAGGGAUGAAUGUGGCAUCUUCCUUUAUUCCUGUCUGAGGAAAGAGCUUGUUUCCAGGUGUCUGGGAUUUGUAUGGCCCAUAGCACUUAGCUUCAGAGCCAAGAUUCAGUCAGGUAACAAAGUACAGAACUCAUGGAAGUGAGCUGACUAGAUUUAAUUUUAAUCAAUUUUAUCAUUAAAAUUUCAAAGCAUAGUUGUUCAAAAUCACUUGUGAAUUUAUUGUGCGGCUGGCUUGACCAUUACUGGUUGACUUGAAGACUAUUUUUCUUAACAAUAUAUAAGUGGUUGUACUACUGAGAAGUGACAAGGUAAUACUUGAUUAGAUUAGAAAUCGUAUUCAGAUUUCAUGCAUGUUUUCCAACUCAUUGAAAGCUAUCUUUUUUCACUGAGUUAAUUCACUCCUGAUAUUUUAAAGCUAAAAUUUUCCGUUGCUCCUGGUCUUUCUUGUUUUAGUGUUUCUGUGAUGCUUGGGCUCUUGUUUCUUUGUUUAUGACAUGGAUUGUGAAAGUGCUGCCUGAAGCCGAUUGUCCACACUGGGGACCUGGCAUACAGAGACCUGAGAAGAUGUCCUUUCCAGGGUCAUUCAGCAACAGGGAGUUUGCUCUGCAGAGAGCUGCAAGUGGUGCCAUGCUGGGACAGAGUUUAGAGGUAUUUGUCCUUCUCUGGAGGUCACCAGCCAGAAUGGAUAAGAGGAAAGAAAAAAGAGGAAAGUUGAGGAGGCAGGACCUGGAAUAGAUGACGUAGCCUCUGAAAUUGACAGGCUUCUCAAUCAGAGGCGCAAGGAGAUGACAAAGCAGCUUCCUUUUCCAAAUUACCCGGACAGCAUUGAGGGGAGCGGGUGGUUGUUUUCAUUUGAUUUCUCAUUAGACAGUGUUUGGCUUGCAGUGAACCAGGGCACUCGGAAGUGUGACUGAGGGACCAGUGAGUAGGCUCAUGUUGUGCAAUAUGCAUGGGACUUUUGGCCCUUCCCCGGGGGAACUCUGCUUUCUCUCCCACUGCCAGGCACCUUUUGUUGGAUGUGGAGAUUGGAUGGAAAAUGACCCAAGGUAUGUUGGUUCUGCCCACAGGAUUCCCUCAACACAAUUGGGCUGGAGUACCUCAUUAGCAGCCGCAGAUGCCCCAAUGGGAAAAAAUGGCUAGCCUGGCAGAGAGAUGUUCUUCCCCUUAUUUCUUAAAAUAUAGAAGAAACCACAGUCUUGAGUGUCCAAUGAGAAAGAAAUGGUUGCAACUCCUCCGUUUCUGUUUAUGUCAUUUGUGUGAAGGCCCUUGGGUCAGCUGGCAUCCACAUGGCCUGCGACUUCCCUGUUGGGGUGCAGGGGAUCUGUUAUUUCCCUGUGCCUACCAUGCUGGGUCAUUUUCUAAGGAGUUCACUUCUGGUUUAGUUUCUCUUUUUCUAUAUGUUGAUAGUGGAAAAGAACUCUCCAGUGAAAUCAUGUUUUUAGAAAAAUAGAGCCUCUCACAAUAAAAUACAGUAUCUAAUUGAGUCUAAACUAAAGACUGAUCUCUGUAAUUGUGACACUGUCAUUUAUGGUAAUUUAUAGGGCAAGGUGUAGUUCAGUGUUAGAGCAUGUGCCUAGCGUGUGCCAGUUCCUGAUUUUGAUCUCUAUCACUGGAAAUUAAAAAGAGAGCCUAUUAAAUGGAAUAUCUGGCAUGGAAUGGUGGUGCAUGCCUGUAAUGACAGCUGCUCCACAGGCUGAGGCAGGAGGGUUGCCAGUUUGAGGGCUAGAUGGAAAGUUGCAGGCAGCCUCGACAUAGUAAGACCAUGUGUGGAAAAAAGCAAAAAGAAUGUCUAAAUGGGAAUGAGCAUAUUGUUUGAAUUAUACAACUGCUGAAUUUUUGAAAGUUCACAGAUCUUGAGCAACUCAAUGAACUUUCAAAAUGCUAAUGGAAUAAUAAUAAAAAUAAUUACUUUAGACACAUUAGAAUAUAUCAUUAUACUCAAAGACUUUUAGAUCUGGAUAGGAAUUAGGAAUGUUUAGUUUAGCACCUUCAUUUUGUAGAUGAGGAAAUUGCGAUAAAUGUAUCUGAGUCACAGUGCUGAGCCGGAAAAGAGAGUAGUUCUGGUACUGUUACAGGGUAAUAUUAAUUCCAGUAAUUAUAAUGUACAUUUAUUGUGCUCUUACCAUGCCAAGGGAUUAUAUUUUUAUAGAGUCUUCAUAUAACCCUAUGUGCUAUAUGGAUAGAUGGUGAUUCACAGUGGUUCAGCUUAACAAGUUUUUGCUAUCUUUUUUUUCUGGUACCAGGGACCGAACUCAGGACCUUGUGCUUGUGAGGCAGGUACAGCACCACUGAGCUACAUCCCCAUCCCUCAACAAGUUUUUGACUCUAGAAAAGUGUGAAAGUGAUAGGCAUCCAGUGGAAACCGUACUGGGAAUUUUGAAUUUGGAUCUUUUCAUGAACUAGUGAUAUGUUGUAUAAUCAAUCCUUUCUUGAGAGGCAGGGCAGCAACCACAGAUCAUGGGGGAGACAAUCAACCUACAUUGCCCAGAGUUGGUAAGCAGGGCCGUUCAGUAGGUUAAGUGCAUGAAAAUGCAUUUUCAACUAACCACAUUUUCAACUUUUGAUGGGUUGAUUGGUAUGUAACCCACUGUAAGUUAAGCAGCAUUUGUAUAUUAUUCUUCUUCCAGUUUCACAUAAGGAGAAAUGAAGGCGUGGAGUCCCCUUAGAUACAUACAGGAGUGACAUCCAGAUCUGAUACCAGAACCUACACACGUUAAAAAAUAAAAAUGCACUUUAUGGUGAAUCCCACACCGUUAAGCUUAAAAGCCCAUGAAAUGCAAAUGAGAGAAUUUCCAGCACAAUAAGAUUAGAUGCACAGUGUGUGUUAAGGGCUUUCCAAACCCUACAUGACAGGAAGGGCUAGGUUUCCCCCUGUGACAGUGCGAGCCUGGGCCACACAGCAGCACUGACCGGCAGUGUGUUUUUCUCUUUGGAGACAGUGCACAGUGACGGCCCUUGCACAGGAAAGGCCAGCAGCUGAGAGCUUUGUCACUACCUGGAGUGCACUGCUCUCACUGUCCCCUCUGGCCUAUCCCUUUUUUCCUGUCACUCCUUUCUUUUGGAGAACACCUGCUCCACCCAUGCCCCACCCCUAGUUGCUGGCUUAGUUUUAGUGAAACCUUCAUGCAACCUGCUCCUCGUGGCUCUGGUGGAAGGCUGGUUGUUCCAGCAGAUUGUUAUGAAGAGAAACAACCCAGGCUUUCACUCUGCUAUUGCUUGCUCUGAGGUAUGGCCCCAGAACGGGGCUUGGCUGGGAGGGAACAGACUUGUGCUUCUGUCUGCAGACUGUGAUGCUGCCUGCACCCUCCAUUUGCUCCGAGUCACAUUUCUCUCCCCACAUGCUACAUAUCCACACACUGCCUGUCUCACCUGUGAACCUGCGGCUUUUCUGGGUCAUGAGACAGAACCCUUACAUAAACUUGCUUCUUGAACCCUUUCAAAAGUUUCAGUUGGGUCUCCACAUUCCUUCUCCUGGUUAAAUCUGAAGAUUGUGAUAGCACAGCACUUGGUGAUAACAUAGAAGCAGCGGUGGAGCUGGAAAAGUCCUUUGGUUAGUCAGGGGGAAGAGUAAGCAAGUAGCCCAUGCAUGUAUGUCUUUGAGAAAAUUUUUCGUGUUUGUUCAAGGUCAUUAUGAUAAGAUUACAUUUCUGUUUUGUUGUUUGUUUGACACAGGGUCUUCCUAUGUAGUUCAGGCUGACCUUGAACUCACUGUAUAGUCCAAAGUGACCUCAAACUCACAGCAAUUCAAAUUCUGGGAUUACAGGUGUGUGCUUCCGUGCCUGUCUAAGAUUACAUAUUUUGAGGAUGAAGCUAUUCACAGAAAGAAAAGGAAAUUUGUAAUCUUUAGUUCCACCUGCCCAGGGCCUUAAGCCCAACUCAACAGUAGUUGUCUAUGCGGUCAGACAAGCCAGAACCACUGGGAAUUAGCUCCAAUGGAAGUUACAGUCACCCCUCAAUAUUCUUGAGGAUUGGUCUCUGGACUCAAUGAGUCCAAGGACACUCACGUUCCUUAUAAAUAAUGGCAUAGGGUUUGCAUACAACCUGUUCAUGUCCUCCUGUAUACUUUAAAUCAUCUCUAGGUUACCUAUAAUCUCUUCUAUAACAUAAACACUAUGUAAAUAAUUGUUAACUGUAUUGUUUAGGGAAUAAUAAUAAGGCUGUAGCUGUUCAGAACAGGUGUAAUUACUUUUGAAAAUAUUUUUGAUCCUCGGUUGGUUGAAUCUGUGGACAUGGAACCCAAGAAGGAGGCCACAAUGCCUCUAACCCUGGCUGGGAACUUCUUAUUUCCAUGGAAAUUGGCACAGUGUAGUGGGUGUUAUAUAGAAACUCAUGAAAUGGACUCAGAAUUCUAACAGAGUGCACCAGACAAGCUCCAGGGCUGUUUUGAAGCAAUACAAAAUGCUUGAUUAAUUUGGGGGGAACUCUUACAGUAAGGAAAUAAAUUCUGUGAUGCAGUGCUUAUUUUGUUUACAUGUGCCACAUUGUUUUAUUAUUAUUGCUAUUAUUAUUAUUAGUCUUUUUUUUCAGACAGGGCCUUGCUAUGUAGUUCAGACUGGCCUUGAACUCACUAUGUAGCCCAGGCUGACCUCCAAUUUGCAGCCAUCUACCUCCCUUAGCCUCUCAGGGGAUUCCAGGCAUGCACCACCACAUCCAGUUCUAGAUCGAGUGUUUUAAAGGUAUCUGUUCCCAAAGAGUUAAAAUCCUUGGCAUCCCCUUUCCCAGUAUAUCAAUUGCUCAUUUAUAGUCUGUGGUGUUAACUGCUGGACUCUUAUGUUCUCAUUGCUUUAUGAGAUUUGAUAUUUUUCAACUAGUCAUUAUACUUCCAGUCUGUGCUUUAGUCUUUGAGCCCAGCUUUGGCAUCAAGAUAAAUCCCUGCAAUUAUAUGGGAAUUUAGUGGCAUAAGGUACUUUCUUGCCCUUUGUCACAGUCCUGUGAAAGAGGGAGGACAUCAUCACCAUUGUGUACAGAGAGAAUGAGAGAAAAUGAGUAACUUGUCCAUGCUCAUAGAAUAAGGAACUAACAAAUUCAACUCAGCCUGCAGUCUGCUGACUUCCAAUCCCAGGCCCUUUCUCUUCCUAUAUGCUGUCAUCCAGAGAAAGACCAAUUUUGACUUUUUCAUGAUCAUAUGCUUAGAUAUAGCCCUGUGGGAUAAAAAGUAUCAUAACUUGUCUCAUUAUCUUCUCAUAGGCGAAAAGAAAAUAGAUGCCUGAUUUGUAGCAUGCCAUUCCAUUUGUAUUCUUGAUGGAAUUUCCAAAGCCUAUGUGCAAUUGACCUCAAACAAGGAACCUCUUAUAAUAGUUCAUACACAAUACUAUUUGCUUAGGGUAACAUUUAAAACAGAACUCAGUGAUCCUUUUCCUUCCCAGUGUGAUUGAGUUGGAGUCAAAUCUACUAUGGUGUGAUACAGCAUUCACCUGUAAGGAGAUCUGGUUGUUUUCUGAGAUAGAGAAAAUGAAGUCUUCCCUCCAGCACACACUCUCUCUGCCCAACAAGAGCAUCAGCACACUUGGAAGUUCUGCCUUCUUAAGGCAGCUGUAUUUCCAUGGAGCAAGAGUGUACUCUGACCACAGGAAUAGCAUACAAGGUAAUCAUCUAUCCCCUUGGUGCAAUUAUCUACCCACAAACACACAAGAGAGUUUUAGUUUGCUAGAGUAAUCAAGACUUUCCACUAUCAGUCAACUUUCUGUUAUGGAAAUCCAGUUCAUCGUCCAACAGCGUUAUUAGUAAGAUGGCAAGGUCAAAAGAUGACAGCAGAUGAGCUCUGAUGAUUUUAAGUGCAGCUCACGCUGCAAUGGCCAGGGGAAAAUUAAGCAACACCUUUGCGACCGUAAGAGCUGCUUAGGCUUUAUUUUUUAGGUAACUUACUUGAGCGUGUUUAAGACAGCCUUCUUUGAAUUAAAAAAUUUCUGAAAGACAUUUAAUCCAUGAACUGACAAAGAGUAUUUUUCUUUAGUGACUAUUGCAAUCAUCAGAAUUUUCUGCACCUGUCAAAAGGACAACAAGGAAAGAAAAUAAAAAAGAGAAAUGAAAUGAUAAGCUAAUGACAGAUUUUACUGAAUUACAGCUUGCAGGAUUUGAAGCAAUAUGAAUCUUAAUGCCACUAUUAUAAGUGGAGGAUUCCACUCAAUAUACACAUAAUUUUUGUAAAUGCAGACAUCCCAACAUCUUUUAAGUUUCUAUUUGAUCAGAUGGGCAAUUUUAUUUUCUGAAGGCUUCUCUAUUUGCCAGACACUGUUUUAUUUUUCAUUUAAUUUAGUGUUCAGACAGACUUGUCCUCACCCCACAAGAUGUCCUAAGACCCUGUAUAGAUCAUUAUGUCGUUGAUCUGCUUUAGUAUUAUAAAUAUAUUUGGAGUUUCAACUUGGCGCAUGUUCCUGGAACAGUCUUUGGCAGAGAACUAGUAAUGUGAUGAAAAUUACAUGUGAAAAAAUUAAAUCCAUAUCUAAUCUGACAAUUUGAUUUUAGUAACUGCCUUUGAAUGUCUGUAAGUGAUUUGAAUGGCUUUUCUUUCCCUGUCUGCAGUGUUUAUAUAGUUGUAGAGACCUAAACAAUUAAUGAAUUGGCCAAAAGAGAAGAGUAGCAGUUUAAGAGAACAACUCAGGCAAAGAGGCCAUGGAUCUAUGAUAAAAUCAGAUUCCAGUUAUUUUUUUUCUUAGUCAUUCCUCUGGCUUUUUUUAAAAAUAAAAAAUUUCUCUCCACUCAACAAUUCAAAAUGGCCCUAACCAAGUUUCCUUGGAGUCUUCUAUUUAUAUUAACUUUGGGAAGGCGUCAUGAGGGAUUCCUUCCUGGAAUUCACACAUACAGCUCAGUUUUAUAGAACAUGAGACCUGGAAUGAAGGAGCUAGGAAAAAGAAAUGUCUUUUUCCAGCCACACUGUAACAUGCCUCAUGACUAUCAAGGAUGAAUCUUCUCAGAUCUCCAGUCAAUAUAGAUUUCUGGAAUUCAUUAACUACUCCAGAAUUUUAAGCAGUUUUAAAUUGAAGAACUGAGUAUUAUCUCCAUAAUUGGUUCUGGGAAACUCAGACCAUGAGUUCAGCUUGACUGAAUUUGGGAAUCUGCCCAGCUUCCAGUUCUGUUUUUCUAAGUAGUAAGUAUUUCAUUUAUGUGUGGAAUGCCUGUAUUCUCAAUCCUAUGUGUUGACAGGAUGUUUUAGGGAUUUUUUUUUUUCUUUGAGGGCAAGGCCAGUGCCCAAUCCGAAGGAUGAUGCUAGAGAUUUCUCUAGCCCAUUUAUCUCUCCAAUCUCUUAGUUCUGAAACAAACCUGCUUCUUUCUGUCUUCCUUCUGUAGUAGAAAUUUAUACUGUGUCUGUUCUAGGGAGAAAAAAAAAAAAAGCAUUUAUUUUCACCUUACCCAGAAGGGGACUGUGGGCACUCUUAUGAAAGAGAAAAAUUUCAGAGGUCAAGUACCUUGUACCUGGUGAGAACACAAACCACUGAGUCACUUUCUAGUUCUCCUCUGCACGAAACAAAGUACGAUAAAACCUUGGAUUGCGAGUAACUUGUUCUACAAGUGUUCUGCGAGAGGAACAAACAUUUCUAAUAAAUUUUAAUACAUUUCUAAUAAGUAAGUGAUAUCUUGCAAUAUAAGUAGUAUGUGACCUGAACAUCACAUGAUCCCUACUGAGCCAAUGGUUCAUCUCUCUCUCUCUCUCUCUCUGGGAUCGUGGGUGACCAUUCUCCAACAGCAAGUGGUUAUGGAGGAGUUCUCAUCUGCAGAGUAGGAGGAGCAGCAUAACACUCCACUGUGUAUAAAUACAUUUUCCUUAUCUAUUCAUCUGUUGAUGGACAUAUGUUCUGUUUCCAAGAUCUAGCUAUUAUAAACUAUGCUGCUAUAAACAUGGUAUACAUGUAUCCCUCUAAAAUGAUGCUUUUAACUCUUUCAGUGAUACCUUGAAGGGGGAUGGUUGGAUCAAAUGAAAUUUCUACUUUUAGUUUUUUGAGGAAUCUCCACACUAUUUUCCAUAGUGGUUAUACUAGUUUACAUUCCCACCAACAAUGUUGAAGAGUCCCUUUUUCUCCUGCAGCCUCACCAGCAUUUGUUAUUAUUAGAUUUUUUGGUAUAGCCAUUCUUUCUGGCAUAAAAUGGCAUCUCAGUAUAGUUUUAAUUCACAUUUCUCUGAUGGCCAGCAAUGUUGAGCAUUUUUUUCACAUAUUUAUUGGCCAUUUGUAUAUCUUCUAAGAAGUGUCUAUUCAUUUUGGUGGCACAUUUUUGAUUGGGUCUUUUAUUUGAGGGAGUCUACUUUUUUGAGUUCUUUAUAUAUUUUUAAUUUUAGUCCUCCUACCAUGGCAAAAAUUAUUUCCCAUUCUGUAGAUUGUUUCUUCACUCUAUUGGUUGUUUCCUUUGCUGCUCAGAAGAUUUUUAAUUUGACAUGAUCUCAUUUGUUGAUUCUCUUGUGCCACUGGGGUUCUGUUCAGAAAGUCCUUGCCUAUGCCUAUGUCUUUAGGAGUUGGACCUAUUUUAUCUUUCAGGAAGUUAAGUGUUUCUGUUUUAACAUUUAGAUCUUUGAUCCAUUUUGAUUUUAGUUUAGUACAUGGUGAGAUAUAUGGAUCUAGACUCGAUAUCUACAUGUGGAUAUCCAAUUUUCCCAGCAUCAUUUAUUAAAGAGGCUAUCUUGCUUCUAGUGGAUGUUUUUGGCUUCUUUGUCAAAGAUCAAAUAGCUGUAUAUGCCUGUGGUUGUUUCUUCUUCUAUUCUGUCCUAUUGAUCCACAUACCUGUGUUUGUGCCAGUACCAUGCUGUUUUAGUCACUGAAGCUCUAUAACUUUAAGUCUGGGAUUGUGAUACUUCCUGCUUUGCUUUUGUUACCUAGAAUUGCUUUUGCUAUUCUGGGUCUCUUCUGAUUCCAUAUAAAUUGUUUUUUCUUGCUCUGUGAGAAAUGAUGUUGGUAUUUUGAUUGGGAUUGCACUAAAUCUGUGUAUCAGUUUUGGAAGUAUAACCAUUUUUAUUACAUUGGUUCUGCCUAUCCAGGAACAGGAGAUGUUUUUCCAUUUUCUGAUGCUCACCUCAAUUUCCUUUUUCAAAGUGAUGUAAUUUUCAUUGUAGAGGUCUUUUACUUCUUUAGUUAGGUUAAUACCUAAGUAUUUAAAUUUUUGAUGCUAUUGUUUUAGUAUUGUUUUCCUAAUUGCCUUUUCAGUGAGUUUAUUAUUAGUGUAUGGGAAUGCUACUGAUUUUGUGUGUUUAUUUGCAUUUUCUUUUUAAUCAUAGCUCUCCUUGUGUCUGUGUUAAAAACUCAUGCUCUCUAUGCAAAGAACAGCCAUUCUGUGGUGUCUGGAUUCUCCUGGCCCUGUCAUGCAGCUGACAUUAUAUCAUACCCUAUACAUACCCAUUUCUAUUGGAGGAGAGCUUCCGAAAAACAAAUCACCCUAGAUUUUGUGGAUUCGUGACUAGAAUCAUCCUAGACUUUGUGGGUACAGUCUCUUUUUUAGCUCCUACCCAGAACACAUUCAUUGUGUUCAUUAUUGAAGUGUUCUCUCAAUUGUGGUGCUGUGCACAUUGUGCAGGCUGGUCCUGCAGAGUGAAACAUCUGAUGACACUCAAAAGUCAUUAUUUUAUCUCACACAGUGACAGGUAUAAAAAAGUUCAUGGCUACAAGACUAGCUGAUUAACUAACAAUUACAGUUUGCUUUAAAUUAUAUUUGGUUUUUAUAAGAAGUGACAUAAUAUUGGCACCAAAUUGAGUGAUCAUAUUCAUUCCUUUAAAAUUACUUUGGCGUCAUGAUUAUAGAUAGCUAAAAGGGCCAAGCAGAGCUUGAAGCAGGAUUAGUGUAACAUAUCUCAUGCUAUUUUAUUUCUUUGUGAUUUGAAAGAAAUACUGCCUUUAACCUCUCUGUGAAAGUUAUAAGAACUUUUACUUAAGCUAGUGUUGAUGGUAUUAAGAUAUAAGAAUUGAGAAUUUAUCUUUUUCAGCUACAAUGAUUACUGAGCCAUAUGUCAUGCAUAAAAUUCUACAAUUUAUCUGGAAUUCUAUCUCACAUCAAACUUGUGGAAGAGAGACUAAUAUAUCUGAUAAAUUGUUUUGAGUUUUAAUUUCUAUAUUUGGAAAUUUAACUGAACCAAAAACUUUUAAAACCUCAGUAAAUAUAGUCUAGUUUAUAGAUCCUUUUACAUAGAAGCCAGAAUUUACAUUUAGGUAAGAAAAGUAAUAAGAAAAAUCCAAAACAUAUGUUCAUAUAAGAUGAUUCAUUUAGUACUUUUAAACAUAUGCUUUUGCACUAUAUGUUGCACAAACAUGAAUAAGAGUAUAAACUUUAUCCCACAGGACAUCACCACCUAGUUAAGCUGAUUAUUAAAAUACUAUUACAAUAAUCACUUUACAACACACAAAUAUAUGUUCUGUUGAGGAGUGUUAUACAAUGUUCCAUGGGAGUUCAAGGAAAGGAGAUUACUGUAUCAGAAUGAGUCAAGGAAAAUUCCAUAGAGUUGAUGACUUUUGGGCUGGGUAAAAAAGAAUUAGUAGUCAUUGUUCAAGAAUAAAAAAACAAAACAAUAUUCUGAAAUAGUCCACUCCAGGAAUAGCAUGUAACUUGGUAGGGGCGAAUCAUGGAGCACAUAUUGGAAGAGAGAGGGAAGAAAGGGCUCAAACACAAAUUGUUUCCAGAUGGUUAAGAGCAGUGUUUGCUCUUCUAAAGCAUUUAGAUAUUUUUGAGAACUAUUUAAAGUUUUUAGUAAAAACCCUUGUUAUUAUAGGAAAUUUCAAAUAUAUAAGAAAAUAGACAAAAUAGCAUAAUGAACCCACAAGUAUUCAUUGCCAACUUUAACAACUUUCAAUUUAUGGUCCACCUUGUUUCAUUUACAUGUCCACUCAUGUUCCUUUCUUCUCACUUUAGUUUUGAAGCCAAUAUUACAUAUUGUAUCAUUUCAUCUGCAAAUACUUUAGCAUGAAUUGCUGGAAGUUGAGUUCUCUUUAAAAAUCUGUGAUAUUAUUAAUAUACCUAAAAUAGUUACUAAUAAUUUGUAGCUAUUAUUGUAGUUUGUCAAGUAGAAGAAUGAUAUAUUUGCUUUCUGGUAAGAACACUCUGAAGGCAAUGAAAAGGACUGACUAAAGAGAAGAAAGUAUCAAAGACAAAGAAGACUGCAGAGACAGAUUUGAAGCAAGGCAACGGUAACAAGAGUGGAUUAAUUUUCAGAAUAUCUAAAAAGUUGAGAGUUCUUGAGAUCAAUUGUCCAUGGUGGUGCGAGAGACGAGGGAGUAGAGGAAGAUUUGGAAGUUUCAACUUGGAUAAUCAGCAUGUGAAAACAACAUUAACUGAUGUAGUGUAAGAAAUUCUUGAAAAGCAAUUUAAUCUAGUUCAGCACUAGAUGGAGAAUGUUGGAAACAAACUCCAAAAUAACUUCCUAUUACCCUCAAACAAAACUUUGAGACUUGGCACAUUUGGAGUAAUUUUGAUUGCUCCAUUUUGAGAAAGCUGUUAACAAAAUUUGGAGGACGUAUAGCAAAUAGCAUCUAAAAUGUUCAGGAAAAGAGAGGAACUGCUUGGACAGACUAAAAACUAAGAACUCUUCAGAUUACAUAUCUUGAAAGGUUAUAAAAUCAUCAAGGCUCAUGAACAUGACUUACUCACCAAACCCAAAUCACUAGAAUUUAAAAUAAUGAAAGGAAAUUCCCUCUCAUCUUAUAAUGAAAAUAUUCAGACAAACAAAAAAGUUGCAAGAAUUAGACAGUGAAUACCCAUUUAUCACCAAUUCAUUUCUACAAUUUAGUGUGUUUUAGUCCUCUUAGUAUAAUUUUAGAUGCUUUUUAACGCAUCUGUUUGUUUAUCCACUCCUCUCUCUAUCCAUUGGUUCAUAUCUAUUUUUUUCAAAAUAAAUUGUAGAUAGCACUACGUUUAUCAGCUUUAUUCCUAAACACCUUAUUGUGCAUAUCAUUUACCAAACUUCAGCAUUUGUUUAGGCAUAUGUUAUAUUUUCCUCAAGAGAGAUUAGUCUUGUAUUACACUUAUUUUCUCAAAAAGAAAGGUGAUUCCAAAGGAACUAACACAAUUCAUGGCUGAUUAAGAAACUGAGACCCUCUUGAUCCUCAGAAGUUGUUGUCAUAUUAUCAUACAGAGCAGUCGCUUUCUACUACAAAACAGCCUCAGGCACUGUUAAGUACUGGCGUGGCAAUGCCAUGCCCAUCCCAAUAAAUAUACACUACAUUUGAACAUGGAGAAACUGAGACUCAGAUAUAUAAGCCUUUUGCCCAUAAGUGAAAGAACUGGUUCUAGAACAAAUCACCUCUAAUAGUUUGCCUCUGACUACUCUGCAGAGUAAUAAUGUGAUGGAACAGAUGAUUUAUAAGUAAAAGGCAAUUUAUUCAUUUUACAUAAAGUCAUCAUGAGAUUUCUCAUUAUGCGAGAGUAGCUAAGCAAGGGGAAAGGAGAUAAAAUUUUCUCACAAAAAUAACUCCUCAUUCACAUAUAGGAAAAAACCCUGCCAGUCAGUAGGAUAGAGAACAAGUUUGGACCUAUUAAGUUUUCUUAAAUAUUCUCACUUAUGUCAAAUUUUAACAUGGUAAAUGCUGCUGAUUGGUUCAAGAAUUAAAAAUCAGGCUGUGGGGCUGGAGGUAUGACUCAGUGGUAGAGUACAUGCUUAGCAUGUGUGAGGUCUUGGGUUCAAACUUUGGCACCAAAAAUACAUAUUAUAUAUUCAGGGUGAGAUGAUGUCUAAAACAUGUACUCAUCAAAAUAUUUAUUACUGAUAAAGAUACCUAGUAUUUAUUUGAAAACUGAAAAAUGCAGUCAAAUAGCCAGACAUCUGCCUGCACAAAAAGCAGACAUUCUGAUACUAGAAAAAAAUUAGGCAUUUGAUGGACUUUUUCAGUUUCUAUUUUGAUGUUAUAAUUUCAAUCUGUGUCAGCGGCUCUCAACUGGGAAUGAUUUUACCACCUAAGGAGCAGUUGGCAAUGUCUGAAGACAUGUUUUGCUUCCCAGUGGGGCUGGAGGUACAGACCUAUUCAUAUCUAGUGAGUAGAGGCCAGGGAUCCUAGGCCAGGUAAACAUCCUACAAUGUACAGGACAAUGACAGAGAAUUAUUCGCCCACAAAGGCCAAUAAUACCAAGCUUCAGGAACCCUAGUCUGUACGAACCAAUUUAAAAAUCCCAUGUGCCUUCAGAACACUUUAGAAGAAUUUCAUGUAACGUUGCUUCUUAUUACUGCUGUUGAGCUGUAAGUGGUGAUGACUUCAUACCCUCAGUGAAACACUUCUGCAGCCACCCUAAUGAGAGAAUUUGCUGUAAAGUAACCUCAGUGUAGGGUCCAUAAAAGGCUGAACUGAGCAUCUCACAAGGCUCUUGAGUAUCCAUAAGAUCCGAUGGUGGCUUGCAAGGAUCCAGGUACUUAGCAGACGAACAGUCAAAGCAGUGAGGGCUACAUUAUUGAUCAGAACAAGAAAAAGGAGCAUUAGGCCCUAAAGCAGGGGAAAGUUCAUCCUAGGAUUGGAGAAGUUCAUUUCUCUGUUUCCCUCAUUCCUCUUCAAACACUCAGGAAGGAGAAUGGAGGGCAUGAAAGUCAGGCCAAUUCUACACUCGUGCUACCAACUUGAUAACUGAUUAUUUCUGAUUUAUGGUAUUCUCCUGCAUCCUCUCCUGACUAAUUGAUGACAUUUCUGUGUCUGUAAUCCUGUUCUCUUUCAUUCAUGUUACAAUUGUGCCCAUCACUUACCUUUCAUUAUCCCCCCUUUUUCUGAGUUUUCAGCUUCUUCCUUUCAACUAGAGAAGCCCUUUCUGUACAUAAAUGUGGUUCAGUAACUCUCAUCUUAUAAAACAUCUUUUGCUCCCAAUAGCUCUGCCAAUUUCUCUUCACUCAAUCCUAGCCCAACUUAGUAAGCUUGUGUUCCACGCACGCUGUCUUUAUUCCCUUCUAUUCUUUAGAUCACAUCAACCUGGCUUCUGCCCACAACUCCAAUAAAGAUGCUACAUUAUUGUCAAGGUCCCCAGUGACCUCGUGGUGGCAGAUGAUGUUUAAAGAGCAGAUGGUUGCUCCUCCUUUUGUUAUUUGACUUAGUAGCAUUCAAUACAGCUGACUAUUUCAACUUCCAUGAGCACAUUCUUCUUGUGGCCUCAUGGUGCAACAGGCUUUUAAGUUUUCCUUCCCUUUCACAGGAACUAUUCACAGUACUUUCUUGCUUCUCCUCCCCUCCUGAUAUUAGAAAGCCCAAGGUUUCUGGGUGGACUCUCUUGUCCUCUCCUUAUACUUUCUUCCUGAGAGAUCAAAGCCAUGCAUAUGGUUUUAAAUUCUAUUUACAUGGGGGUGACUCGAUUUUAAGUUCUAUCCAAGAUCUUUACUUGGAUCUUCGGAUUUGUAAAAUAAAUGCAACUGAGCCACACGCAUGUAUUUUACAAGCACUUCAGCCUUCUUACAUCCUGAGUACAACUUAGGUUUCUUCCUAUGUACCCCCUUCCUCCAUCCUACAGCCUUCUCCAAGUCUCAGUAAAUGGAAUUAUAAUCCAGCCAGUUUCUCAAACCUUUUGUUUCCUCACGUUCUCAGCUGAGUCUUGUCUCCAAGUCUCAGCUCUUGACUUAAAUAUCAUCUCUUUAAAGAGAUAUCUCCUGACCACUCAGCUAAAAUGAUUGUUUUUACCAUUCUCUAUCUUAGCAUUCCCUGUGGGUUUUCAUUUAUAGCUCUUACAACAACUUAUGCUUACAGUAAAACCUUGGAUUGCAAGUAACUUGUUCUACAAGUGUACCAAGAGAUGAGGAAACAUUUCUGAUAAAUUCUAACUUGAUAAAUGAGAGAUGUCUUGCAAUAUGAGUGGUGUGUGGCAUGGAACAUCACAUGGUCACAUCUGACCCAGUGAUCUCUCUUUCACUGCGGGAUUGUAGAGAUUGUCUCCCAGCAGCAAGAUGUUUUGGAGGAGAACUCAUGUGUGGAGGAGGAGAAAAGGACAGAGGAAUCCUUCACUUCAAAUGAGGUCAGGGAGAUGUGUAAAAUGUGGGAAAAAGUGCAGAAUUUUGUGGAAAAACACCACCUGAAUAAUGCUGUAGCACUGCAAGCAAUGACUCUGUUUAACAACAGUGCAAUGGUCACAUUUCCAAAAAAUCUUCAAAGGGAGGCAAAAGAAAGUGUCAUUGGAUGGGUUCCUUGUUAAAAUUAUAUGAAGAGAAAAAGAUUCCAUUCAGCCAAUAGAUUGCAGUGAUUCCUUUAGUGACAGUGAAGUCAUUCUACACAAUAGCCCUCCUCUCUGUCUCCCUCACACCAGCCGUGAAUGUUUUCAAAGGUAAGUGCAGGUUAAUUUGUUUAUUUUUCUUUAUAUUAUGCACUUUCUCUAUUAGUUCUUAUUAUAUUACAGUAUUGCAAUCUUUUUAUGUUGCUGUUGUUUGUUUUUUGAGACAGGGUCUUGCUAUAUAGUUCAUGUUGGACCUGAAUUUACUGUAUAGUCCAAGCUAGCCUUGAACUUGCAGUGAUCCUCCUACCUCCUGAAUGCUGGGAUUAUAGACAUGUGUCACCAUGCCUGGCUUGUAAUCAUUUUUAAUGAAUAUUUGGGGGUUGUAGAAUGAAUCAUCUUAGUUUCUAAUACUUCUUCUGGGGAAAUUCACUUCAAUAUACAAGUAGCUUGGAGUACAAGCAUGUCUCUGGAAUAAAUUAUGCUCACAAACCAAGGUUAUACUGUAUUUGCAAUUUUGUCCAUCUACUUGGUUGAUGUCGAUUUCCCUCUGUACAGAGACCUGGUCUAUUUAGUUCACCAUUAAUUACCAGUGCUUGGCAUCAUGUCUGGGAGGUAGAAACAUAUUUAUUGAGUCAAUAAAAAACUAUUUGGAUAUUGGGAUUAAAACUGGUGCUUUUAUUUAUUUAGUUUUGUCUCACAAGAUAAGAAUUUUUCUGUCAGUCAUACUUUUAUUUAGAUUAAAAGAUAACAUUUAGCCACCACUCAGGAGGAAAAAGAAAAAAACCAAGAUAAUGAUAAAUUGAUAUUCAAUUGGAAAAUCACUUCUUUUUUUGUAUUCUAAUUUACUUAUAAUAUAGAAAUAAUGCUAUUUGUUGUGGUUAAUAUUUUGAUGUUCCUCCAAAGCCUCAUGCACUCAUAGAUGGAGCUUUUGCAAGGUGAUUGGAUCAUGGGCUUGUGUUAAUCAUCAGAGAACAGUUCCACUGAUGAGUUUAUAGGUGACUUGCUAUUAAGAGGUGGGAUUUGGUCAGAAGAAGUGGGUCACUGGGAGCAUGGCCUGGAAGGGUUUCUUUCUUCCCAUCUCUCCUUUCACUCACUCUCUGCUUCCCCACCACCAUCCCAAGAGCAGCUUUCCUCAGUUCUCCUCCACCAUGACCUCUGUCAUGCCAUCCUGCCUUGGAGCCUGUUGAUUAUGGACUAAAAUGUGAGCCAAAAUAAACCUCUCCUUCCUUUAAGUUGUGAGUCUCAGGUACUGUGCCUCAGCAAUGAAGAAAGUGACUAUUCACUCUGCCAGAAUUAUUUUAAAAGAUUAUUUAAAUUUAAAGGAUUACUUUAAUAAUGCUUUGAAAAAAGUCAUUAAAUGCAUAUAGCUAUACUUGAGAUGGCGCAGAGAUUCUAUGUAUUAUCAAUUUCUUCUUUCUGAGAACUAUACCGAACCAAUGUCUGAGCUCUUGAGGUUUGUGAACCAAUAAAAUGUCACCAGUCUUUAUUGUUAUGUCUUAUUUGAAAGUGUGUUAGUCAGCUUUCCAUCACUAGAACAAAUACUCGAGAUAAUCAACUUAUAAAGAGAAAAGGUUUAUCUGGCUCAGAGGCUUGGAGUGUUCUAUCCAUUAUAAGUUGGAACCCAGUGCUUUAGGCUUGUGGAGGCACCUCAUGGUAGGAGCACUUGGCAGAGAGAGACUGCUCACCUGAUGGCCAGAAAGUUAGGUGAGAAAGUCAUGGAUCCCAUAGUCCCCUUUGAAGGCGCAUGCCAGUGACCCAAACACUUCCCACCAGGCCCCACAUCUUACAGUUUCUACCACCUCCUAGUAGUAUCAACCUGGGGACCAAGCCUUUAAUACAGGGACCUGUGGGGAACAUUUCAGAUCAAACGUUAGCAAAAGGACACCACUAGAUAGUGUCUUAGUGAUGUGGCUACAGUUGUGUACUGGCUGUGUGCUUUGGAGCCAGCCUCUUAGCCGCCCUGCCCUGUGGGAGGGGCCAAGCAAGACUGGUGGUCAGCACAGACAGCACAGUGGGCCCUGGCUGAGACCUAGGCCUGGGCACAGUGGACAUCCUGGGAUCUGACCAAGGUGCUGAAGGAUAAGAGAGAAGGAAGCAACUUCACAGGAAGGAGUAAGGAGCAGGGUCUCCAGACCUCAUCAGAGUCAUAGUUACAUUUGCAAAAAUGAAAACCUUAUGUUUUUAGAAUUAGUUGUUCAGUCUGAGGUUGCUUGUGGAGUCUCAGGAGGAACUUAAAAUUUCACUGGCUUAAACUUUUGUGACUUUAAAAAGCUGAUGGUGAGUAUAUUCUAGCACAGUGGCAGAGGGGUGUAGGUUGGUGUGGGGCCAAAGCGACACUUGAAGGGCUCCCCUCAUCAUGACAAUUCCAUGAUUUAAAACCUCACUGGAACUUGUAUGUGAUGCAUUCCCAGAUCCUCCAGCCAACUUAAUACCAGCUAUUUCCUUAUGACUGGGUGCAGAUUAAGGUCCUCCUAAAACAGAUUUCACUGGACUCCUGCACAAGAGGACCCUUCUGGGUUUUCCUGCCCCCCAACAUCACCCUGAAGCGCCAAAGCUUGAGCAUGUGGGUACAUGUAUUACUACACCAAGAGUGCCAGCUGAGACCAACAAAAGACUCAUCAGACCUCUCAGCUUCUCUGUUUCACCAAGCGCAGUUACCUGACCCACAAAGCAGAGUAAGCCAAGUGCUUUUGUGUGACACCAGCUAAUACUGCCCGAGGGAAAAAAAAUAACCAACUUAGACUAGAGCCCUGUCUUUUUUGACAAGCUAGAAGUUGAAGGUGCUGCUAGUCAGUGACUGAUAUCUUUAUUUAGUGGCUUGGUCCCUGAAUUCAGAGACUGAGUUGCAACUGAGUAAAAAAAAUAGAAAAUGAAGUCUUAGAGAAAUGCACUGAGGUGCAAGCCAGAUUUAAUUCUCUUCAAGUAAGGUUGGUUGAACUAAGAAUUGGUUAAACCAAAUGUGUAACAGGACUGGAUAUUUGUCAUUGUUACCUCUUGCUGUUACAUUGCUCCCUGUGUCUUCUGUCUCAGUUUAGAUGUUCUCAGACAAUUAACACUGCCCUGAUUGUAGACAACUGUGGUUUCCUAGUUUAGAACUAAGUCAUGGUUGUACCUAAUUAAACCUGUUGUAUUCUUUUUUUUAAAAAAAGCUCAUGAGUUUUUCCUUCUCUUUUAUUUUGGGCAAAUCCAUAUCCAUUUGUUUUAAGGUUAAAAAAUGAUAUAUUAUGUGCUGGAACCUCAAG